CAGUCGCCACGGUAAUACGAAGGGGGCUAGCGUUGCUCGGAAUUACUGGGCGUAAAGGGAGCGUAGGCGGACAUUUAAGUCAGGGGUGAAAUCCCAGAGCUCAACUCUGGAACUGCCUUUGAUACUGGGUGUCUUGAGUGUGAUAGAGGUAUGUGGAACUCCGAGUGUAGAGGUGAAAUUCGUAGAUAUUCGGAAGAACACCAGUGGCGAAGGCGACAUACUGGAUCAUUACUGACGCUGAGGCUCGAAAGCGUGGGGAGCAAACAGGAUUAGAUACCCGUGUAGUCCCUGUCUCUUAUAC
rnacentral:rRNA from 1 species